rnacentral:rRNA from 1 species
CCUACGGUGGGCUGCAGUGAGGAAUAUUGGUCAAUGGCCGGAAGGCUGAACCAGCCAAGCCGCGUGAAGGACGAAGGUGCCAAGCAUUGUAAACUUCUUUUGUCAAGGGACAAAAUCAGGCUCGAGAGCCUGACCGAGGGUACUUGAAGAAAAAGCAUCGGCUAACUCCGUGCCAGCAGCCGCGGUAAUACGGAGGAUGCGAGCGUUAUCCGGAUUUAUUGGGGUUAAAGGGUGCGUAGUCGGGCUGUUAAGUCAGCGGUAAAAGCCCGGGGCUCAACCCCGGCGAGACGGUGAAACGGGCUGGCUGGAGAUGUCGAGAGGUAGGCGGAAUGCGCAGUGUAGCGGUGAAAGGCU